rnacentral:rRNA from 1 species
UGGGGGAUAUUGCACAAUGGGCGAAAGCCUGAUGCAGCGACGCCGCGUGGGGGAUGAAGGCUUUCGGGUUGUAAACCUCUUUCGCUAUCGAACAAGGCCCGCUUAGGGUGGGUUGAGGGUAGGUGGAGAAGAAGCGCCGGCUAACUACGUGCCAGCAGCCGCGGUAAUACGUAGGGCGCGAGCGUUGUCCGGAAUUAUUGGGCGUAAAGGGCUUGUAGGCGGCUUGUUGCGCCUGCUGUGAAAACGCGGGGCUUAACUUCGCGCGUGCAGUGGGUACGGGCAGGCUUGAGUGUGGUAGGGGUGACUGGAAUUCCAGGUGUAGCGGUGGAAUGCACAGAUAUCUGGAGGAACACCGAUGGCGAAGGCAGGUCACUGGGCCAUUACUGACGCUGAGGAGCGAAAGCAUGGGUAGCGAACAGG